AUUGAACGCUGGCGGCAGGCUUAUCACAUGCAAGUCGAGCGGGGGAAGGUAGCUUGCUACUGGACCUAGCGGCGGACGGGUGAGUAAUGCUUAGGAAUCUGCCUAUUAGUGGGGGACAACAUCUCGAAAGGGAUGCUAAUACCGCAUACGUCCUACGGGAGAAAGCAGGGGAUCUUCGGACCUUGCGCUAAUAGAUGAGCCUAAGUCGGAUUAGCUAGUUGGUGGGGUAAAGGCCUACCAAGGCGACGAUCUGUAGCGGGUCUGUGAGGAGGAUCCGCCAAAAUGGGACUGAGCCACGGCCCAGACUCCUACGGGAGGCAGCAGUGGGGAAUAUUGGACAAGGGGGGGAACCCUGAUCCAGCCAUGCCGCGUGUGUGAAGAAGGCCUUAUGGUUGUAAAGCACUUUAAGCGAGGAGGAGGCUACUCUAGUUAAUACCUAGGGAUAGUGGACGUUACUCGCAGAAUAAGCACCGGCUAACUCUGUGCCAGCAGCCGCCGUAA
rnacentral:rRNA from 1 species